UGUCGACCGGAUUCUCCAUGAUGGACGGACUCUAUCCAAGUGUCUACGGUGGUCGACCACCUUCUAGACUUCGUCCGGACUUCUUCCUCGAACUCCAACUGCAGGUAGACUCCGUCCGGGCUCCUAUGGGAGCCAAACUUCUUUUCCGAACUCCAACUGCAGGUAGACUCCGUCCGGGCUCCUACGGGAGCCGGACUUCUUCUCCGAACUCCAACUGCAGGUAGACUUCGUCCGGGCUCCUACGGGAGCCGGUCUUCUUC
rnacentral:lncRNA from 1 species